AGAGUUUGAUCCUGGCUCAGAGCGAACGCUGGCGGCAGGCCUAACACAUGCAAGUCGAACGAACUCUUCGGAGUUAGUGGCGGACGGGUGAGUAACACGUGGGAACGUGCCUUUAGGUUCGGAAUAACUCAGGGAAACUUGUGCUAAUACCGAAUGUGCCCUUCGGGGGAAAGAUUUAUCGCCUUUAGAGCGGCCCGCGUCUGAUUAGCUUGUUGGUGGGGUAAUGGCCCACCAAGGCUACGAUCAGUAGCUGGUCUGAGAGGAUGACCAGCCACAUUGGGACUGAGACACGGCCCAAACUCCUACGGGAGGCAGCAGUGGGGAAUCUUGCGCAAUGGGCGAAAGCCUGACGCAGCCAUGCCGCGUGUAUGAUGAAGGUCUUAGGAUUGUAAAAUACUUUCACCGGUGAAGAUAAUGACUGUAGCCGAGAGAG
rnacentral:rRNA from 1 species